UGUGUUAUAUAAACCCGUUUCAUUUAGAAGUAGUAAAUCGUAAUACAAGCAUUUCUCGUUAUAUGUAUAUUGUACAUGUAUCUAUGUAUAUAUGUGUCCAGUGUCCAUCUAUAUUAUAGAUACCUAUGUAUCCGAGUACCCGUGGGAACGAGCACGGCGAUAGCACAUUAUGACAUUCCGCUGGGUGGACAGUUUUGGUAGCCACAGCGCUCGUUCCCAAACGGAGUCAGUCGCAUUCCGGCAGGAUAUCAUCUGUCCCCCCAUCUCAUGUACAUUAAAUAAUCGUUUUAAAAAGAAAAUUCGUUAUGGUCGGUUGUUUCGCCGAGCGCACUCUGUUUGAUUUGUCGUGUAGACGUAGGCACACGGCACUGCAUUAAUUACGGCACUGAUUAUUUUGCAGUAUUUACAUUUUACGUUGGUCACGAGUAAUCGAAAUAAUUGUUGCGAUCGCGGUUUUCUCGUCACAGCCAUAUCGACCGCAUAACAUAUUAUUAUUCUUCCGUCAUCGUUCUUCAGUCCUCAACCGCAGUCCUCGGUGCGAGUGGUUGGGCGCGUGACACGUUUUCACGACUAACGGCAUAGCUUAAUAUGUUAUAAUAUUAUUAUAAUAUACUGUAGACGCCAUGACAUCAUCGUAUUUGCCGAUUUUCAAUCGAUUGGGUUUGAACGCAUCGUAUUAUUCAAAAAUGGAAAAAAACUGGAAGAUUCACAUUAUUUCUUGCUACUCUAUGUUUUAUUUGUGCGGUUAACGAAGCCACUGGAAAAUGUGAAUUCUACGAUCGUCUACCCAACAAAAAUUGAACCACUACAACAGAGGAUUGUAAAUCAAAAAAAGAGCUGUCGUAUUGUUUUGCCAUUUGGGAAAUAAAAUCGAAAUUAAGUUUAAGGGUUGUACUUAUGAAAACUACUGCCAACUCACUGUUGUGAUGUAACCCUAAAAUUCUAUGGGACUCAGACCCUAUCAAUAUUAAACAAUACAUAAUUUAUCAUACACACAUAUAUUGUUGACUAAAAAUGUAACCUAACCUAUCAAAAUACAACAAAAUACUAGAACAACUAAACAUCAAAUCCAACAACAAAAACACUAAGCACAUCCACGUAAAAUACAAUAAUUCCAACCACAACAACCACAACCACUAUGUCAACCACGACAAUAUCUAGCACAACAUUACCAACCUCAAUGAAUCCAUAGCUAUACCCAUCCUGGACACAACUCAUAUACAUACUUAAAAUAUUUAAACAAAAUGUCAUAUUUAUAAUAAAAUUAAACAACGCGAACGAACACAAUAACAAAUUGAAAAAUACACACUUCCUUACGCCAUGUCCCAGCUUUCACUCGACAGAAACUGCCCGACUACAACAGAGGAUUGUAAAUCAAAAUAGAGCCGUUUGGGAACAACACGUUGUGCCAUUUGGGAAAACAAUAUCCGGUUAAAUAAAGUCGUAAUUAAGUUUAAGGUAAUAUAACUUAAUCAUUAUAGAAUUGUGUUUAAUUUUAUCAUGUUUUUAUAAGUAAAAGUAUUCGAAAAUCUUCAAGUGUAUUUUUAAGUUCUAAAAAUCAGAAUUUGUAUAAUUAUAUACACACAUAGCAGGGCCGAAUUAAGGGGGGGGGGGGUCUAUCCGGGGUGGAAACCCCGCGAUGCCCUCUUAAGUACCAAAAUGAAAAGGGCCCAAACAAUUUUAAGCUUAUACAUAUUUUUUAGUGAUUUAAAAAAAAAAGUUUUUCUACAUUUUAAAAACCAUUUUUUUUAUGGACAAAAACAACUAAAUAGUAAAUACCUACAGAAGUACUAUGUGGUACAAAAGACGCAUAUUACUGUUAUUUAAUAUUUUCAUUGAUAUCAAUAAUAUAAUCAAUAGUUAAUAAUGUUAUUUAUGUAGGUACGGGGAGAGCUUUUUCUAAAUUAACUAGAGUAAAAAAUAAGUAUAAAACCAGUCAAACCUAAGAAAACUGAGACAUACAAAUGAUUUUUUAAAAUCAUUAGACUUAAAAUAAGUACUAAGAGAGUUGGCUUCAAGUAAAGCAAGAAAAAAAAUGUAUUUGAUAAAAUGGUUUUUGUUUGAUAUUUGUUGUAAAUGAGUAUAUUGUUAAUAAAUUUAAAAGUUAUUAUGAAAAUUUGAAUUGUUCAAUAAAUCAUUACGAAUUGUUCAAUCCAUUAUUACGAAGUGUCGAAUCCGUUAUUAUGAGUUAUAAUUCAUAAUAACGACUUGUGAUAAUCCAUAAUAAUGAGAUAAAAAAAACAUAUGGUUUGACCUUCAACGCUUCCGUAGAUAUAGGCUAUUAUGGUUUAAGUGUUAAACUGUGUCAUUAUUAUUAUUAUUAUAUUUAAAUUUAAACUAUUUAUUGUAAAUCUAUAUAUUAAAUAUUAUAAUUACGUAUAUUUUACACUGUAUGUCUGUAGUGUACUGUAUAUUUAAAAUUAAAUUUGAAUUAUAUUCCGUUA
rnacentral:lncRNA from 1 species